UGGCACUAGAAGCCGAUGAAGGACGUUACUAACGACGAUAUGCUUUGGGGAGCUGUAAGUAAGCUUUGAUCCAGAGAUUUCCGAAUGGGGAAACCCAGCAUGAGUUAUGUCAUGUUAUCGAUAUGUGAAUACAUAGCAUAUCAGAAGGCACACCCGGAGAACUGAAACAUCUUAGUACCCGGAGGAAGAGAAAGAAAAUUCGAUUCCCUUAGUAGCGGCGAGCGAAACGGGAAGAGCCCAAACCAACAAGCUUGCUUGUUGGGGUUGUAGGACACUCUAUACGGAGUUACAAAGGACGACAUUAGACGAAUCAUCUGGAAAGAUGAAUCAAAGAAGGUAAUAAUCCUGUAGUCGAAAAUGUUGUCUCUCUUGAGUGGAUCCUGAGUACGACGGAGCACGUGAAAUUCCGUCGGAAUCUGGGAGGACCAUCUCCUAAGGCUAAAUACUCUCUAGUGACCGAUAGUGAACCAGUACCGUGAGGGAAAGGUGAAAAGCACCCCGGAAGGGGAGUGAAAUAGAACCUGAAACCGUGUGCUUACAAGUAGUCAGAGCCCGUUAAUGGGUGAUGGCGUGCCUUUUGUAGAAUGAACCGGCGAGUUACGAUUUGAUGCAAGGUUAAGCAGUAAAUGUGGAGCCGUAGCGAAAGC
rnacentral:rRNA from 1 species